rnacentral:rRNA from 1 species
UUAAGCGACUAAGCGUACACGGUGGAUGCCCUGGCAGUCAGAGGCGAUGAAGGACGUGCUAAUCUGCGAAAAGCGUCGGUAAGGUGAUAUGAACCGUUACAGCCGGCGAUGUCCGAAUGGGGAAACCCAGUGCAAUUCGUUGCACUAUCGUUAACUGAAUACAUAGGUUAACGAGGCGAACCGGGGGAACUGAAACAUCUAAGUACCCCGAGGAAAAGAAAUCAACCGAGAUUCCCCCAGUAGCGGCGAGCGAACGGGGAGCAGCCCAGAGUCUGAAUCAGCUUGUGUGUUAGUGGAACGGUCUGGAAAGUCCGACGGUACAGGGUGAUAGUCCCGUACACCAAAAUGCACAGGCUGUGAACUCGAAGAGUAGGGCGGGACACGUGGUAUCCUGUCUGAAUAUGGGGGGACCAUCCUCCAAGGCUAAAUACUCCUGACUGACCGAUAGUGAACCAGUACCGUGAGGGAAAGGCGAAAAGAACCCCGGCGAGGGGAGUGAAAAAGAACCUGAAACCGUGUACGUACAAGCAGUGGGAGCACCUUCGGGUGUGACUGCGUACCUUUUGUAUAAUGGGUCAGCGACUUAUAUUCUGUAGCAAGGUUAACCGUAUAGGGGAGCCGCAGGGAAACCGAGUCUUAACUGGGCGUUAAGUUGCAGGGUAUAGACCCGAAACCCGGUGAUCUAGCCAUGGGCAGGUUGAAGGUUGGGUAACACUAACUGGAGGACCGAACCGACUAAUGUUGAAAAAUUAGCGGAUGACUUGUGGCUGGGGGUGAAAGGCCAAUCAAACCGGGAGAUAGCUGGUUCUCCCCGAAAGCUAUUUAGGUAGCGCCUCGUGAACUCAUCUUCGGGGGUAGAGCACUGUUUCGGCUAGGGGGUCAUCCCGACUUACCAACCCGAUGCAAACUACGAAUACCGAAGAAUGUUAUCACGGGAGACACACGGCGGGUGCUAACGUCCGUCGUGAAGAGGGAAACAACCCAGACCGCCAGCUAAGGUCCCAAAGUCAUGGUUAAGUGGGAAACGAUGUGGGAAGGCACAGACAGCCAGGAUGUUGGCUUAGAAGCAGCCAUCAUUUAAAGAAAGCGUAAUAGCUCACUGGUCGAGUCGGCCUGCGCGGAAGAUGUAACGGGGCUAAACCAUGCACCGAAGCUGCGGCAGCGACACUAUGUGUUGUUGGGUAGGGGAGCGUUCUGUAAGCCUGCGAAGGUGACCUGUGAGGGUUGCUGGAGGUAUCAGAAGUGCGAAUGCUGACAUAAGUAACGAUAAAGCGGGUGAAAAGCCCGCUCGCCGGAAGACCAAGGGUUCCUGUCCAACGUUAAUCGGGGCAGGGUGAGUCGACCCCUAAGGCGAGGCCGAAAGGCGUAGUCGAUGGGAAACAGGUUAAUAUUCCUGUACUUGGUGUUACUGCGAAGGGGGGACGGAGAAGGCUAUGUUAGCCGGGCGACGGUUGUCCCGGUUUAAGCAUGUAGGCUGGUUAUCCAGGCAAAUCCGGAUAAUCAAGGCUGAGGUGUGAUGACGAGGUACUACGGUGCUGAAGUAACAAAUGCCCUGCUUCCAGGAAAAGCCUCUAAGCAUCAGGUAACAUUAAAUCGUACCCCAAACCGACACAGGUGGUCAGGUAGAGAAUACCAAGGCGCUUGAGAGAACUCGGGUGAAGGAACUAGGCAAAAUGGUGCCGUAACUUCGGGAGAAGGCACGCUGGUGUGUAGGUGAAGUCCCUGCGGAUGGAGCUGAGACCAGUCGAAGAUACCAGCUGGCUGCAACUGUUUAUUAAAAACACAGCACUGUGCAAACACGAAAGUGGACGUAUACGGUGUGACGCCUGCCCGGUGCCGGAAGGUUAAUUGAUGGGGUUAUCCGUAAGGAGAAGCUCUUGAUCGAAGCCCCGGUAAACGGCGGCCGUAACUAUAACGGUCCUAAGGUAGCGAAAUUCCUUGUCGGGUAAGUUCCGACCUGCACGAAUGGCGUAAUGAUGGCCAGGCUGUCUCCACCCGAGACUCAGUGAAAUUGAACUCGCUGUGAAGAUGCAGUGUACCCGCGGCAAGACGGAAAGACCCCGUGAACCUUUACUAUAGCUUGACACUGAACAUUGAGCCUUGAUGUGUAGGAUAGGUGGGAGGCUUUGAAGCGUGGACGCCAGUCUGCGUGGAGCCAACCUUGAAAUACCACCCUUUAAUGUUUGAUGUUCUAACGUUGGCCCCUGACCGGGGUUGCGGACAGUGUCUGGUGGGUAGUUUGACUGGGGCGGUCUCCUCCCAAAGCGUAACGGAGGAGCACGAAGGUUAGCUAAUCCUGGUCGGACAUCAGGAGGUUAGUGCAAUGGCAUAAGCUAGCUUGACUGCGAGCGUGACGGCGCGAGCAGGUGCGAAAGCAGGUCAUAGUGAUCCGGUGGUUCUGAAUGGAAGGGCCAUCGCUCAACGGAUAAAAGGUACUCCGGGGAUAACAGGCUGAUACCGCCCAAGAGUUCAUAUCGACGGCGGUGUUUGGCACCUCGAUGUCGGCUCAUCACAUCCUGGGGCUGAAGUAGGUCCCAAGGGUAUGGCUGUUCGCCAUUUAAAGUGGUACGCGAGCUGGGUUUAGAACGUCGUGAGACAGUUCGGUCCCUAUCUGCCGUGGGCGCUGGAGAAUUGAGGGGGGCUGCUCCUAGUACGAGAGGACCGGAGUGGACGCAUCACUGGUGUUCGGGUUGUCAUGCCAAUGGCACUGCCCGGUAGCUAAAUGCGGAAGAGAUAAGUGCUGAAAGCAUCUAAGCACGAAACUUGCCCCGAGAUGAGUUCUCCCUGAGACUUUAAGUCUCCUGAAGGAACGUUAAAGACGAUGACGUUGAUAGGCCGGGUGUGUAAGCGCAGCGAUGCGUUGAGCUAACCGGUACUAAUGAACCGUGAGGCUUAACCUU